rnacentral:lncRNA from 1 species
UUUUGGAAUAAGUGUGGUGUGGUACUGAUGAGAAGAAAGUAUAUUCUGUUGAUUUGGGGUGGAGAUGGGAUCUCACUGGAUUGAAAUCAAGGUAUUUGUUAGGGCUGAAUUCUCAUCUGAGGCUCAGGAUCCUCUUCCAAGCUCAUGUCACUCUUGGCAGGAUUCAGUUAUCCUGCACACACUCAUGUGAGGGGAUUCUACAGGGCACAUAUAUCAAGGGGUGAAAAUCUUGCGGGUCAUCGUAGAAUUCUGCUUACCAUUAUACCUAAUAACUGGAAGCCACCCAGAACUCUCCAUUCAUUAUCAUCACAGAGAUUCCCUCAGCCUUUCUCUUGAAUUGAAUUCUCUGUUUCCUGGACUUUGUGUCUUUUUUUUUUCUCUUGGUUUAUUCCAUAAAUUUCUAGAAGCACAUCUUCAAACAGCUUCCUGAAAAGGGGCUACAUGAGUUUUGUUUUUUAGACACUGAAAAUGGAGUUCUUGAAGUUAUUUUUCCUCAGAAUUUUUAGUGUGUUGUUGCUUCAUUGCCUUCUAGCUUCCACUAUUGUUAUUGAUAAGUUUGAUGUCUUCUUAUACUUGAUACUUUGUAUGAAACCUGUUUUUUUUUCUCCCUGAGACUUUAUAUUGUCCAUUAUCUGUCCCCAGCUUUGUGAAAUUCCUCGAUAAUGUGCCUUGGAUUUGGUCUACUUUAUCCAUUGUUCUGGGUGCUCAGUGACAUCCCUUUCUAUCAGGACAUUCAUGUUCCUCAUAGAUUCUGGAAAUUUUAUUUUGAAUUAUUUUAUUAGUGAUUUCCUUUUAUCUAUUUUCACUAUCCUCUAUUCAUAGAACUUCAAUUAUUCUUUUUUUUUUGACGGAGUCUCGCUGUGUCGCCCAGGCUGGAGUGCAGUGGCGCUAUCGUGGCUCAUUGCAACUUCUGCCUUCUGGGUUCAUGCCA